AAGCAAUUUGAACGUAGCGGAGCCCAAAAAAGACUUUUUCCCAUAGACUCACAUGGGGAAAGAGACGUCUGUAAAUCAGUGGAUACAUUUUUUUUGAGCAUCCCAACCCCCCUGAAAUUUCUCGU